AAGUCGUAACAAGGUUUCCGUAGGUGAACCUGCGGAAGGAUCAUUAAUGAUUUUUUAAGCAAACCAAGCUUUUUUUUUAUAAAAAGUGAGGUUUUGCGAAUGUAUUUAAAACCCCCCACUCUUUUAAAAAAAUAUAUAUAUCAUUCAUAUAUAAAAUGAAUAAAAAAAAAGAUCACUUUCAACAACGGAUCUCUUGGCUCUC
rnacentral:misc_RNA from 1 species